rnacentral:rRNA from 1 species
AACGAACGCUGGCGGCGUGCCUAACACAUGCAAGUCGUGCGAGAAAGUUCCUUCGGGAGCGAGUAAAGCGGCGCACGGGUGAGUAACACGUAGGUAACCUGCCCCCCAGUCUGGAACAACUAGAGGAAACUCUAGCUAAUGCCGGAUGAGACCACGAUCCCUUCGGGGGUUGCGGCCAAAGAUGGCCUCUACUUGUAAGCUAUCGCUGAGGGAUGGGCCUGCGGGCCAUUAGCUUGUUGGUGAGGUAACGGCUCACCAAGGCUGUGAUGGCUAGCUGGUCUGAGAGGAUGACCAGCCACACUGGGACUGAGACACGGCCCAGACUCCUACGGGAGGCAGCAGUGGGAAUAUUGCGCAAGUGGCGAAAGCCUGACGCAGCGACGCCGCGUGGGUGAUGAAGGCCUUCGGGUCGGUAACGACCGUCGUCGCGACGGGAAGGAAAGUAAGACGAUCGGUA